rnacentral:sRNA from 1 species
GGUUUGAUCACUAAUUCAUGUGCCAAUC